CAUUACAAGUGAGGCUACCGAACGUUGGAAACAGCGGUUAGGAGCUUACACCCACCCGUGUUUACAUACUAUUGUUGCUUUGGCGGGCCGUGGCCUCCACUGCGGGCUCUGCUCGUGUGUGCCCGCCAGAGAACCAAACUCUGAAUGUUAGUGAUGUCUGAGUACUAUCUAAUAGUUAAAACUUUCAACAACGGAUCUCUUGGUUCUGGCAUCGAUGAAGAACGCAGCGAAAUGCGAUAAGUAAUGUGAAUUGCAGAAUUCAGUGAAUCAUCGAAUCUUUGAACGCACAUUGCGCCCUGUGGUAUUCCGCAGGGCAUGCCUGUUCGAGCGUCAUUUAACCACUCACGCCUAGCGUGGUAUUGGGGCACGCGGUCUCCGCGGCCCUCAAAAUUAGUGGCGGCGCCGGUGGGCUCUAAGCGUAGUACAUACUCCCGCUAUAGAGUUCCCCCCGGUGGCUCGCCAGAACCCCCAAUUUUUUACAGGUUG
rnacentral:rRNA from 1 species